rnacentral:rRNA from 1 species
UACGAAGGGAGCGAGCGUUGUUCGGAAUCACUGGGCUUAAAGCGUGCGUAGGUGGAUUGGUAAGUAAGGAGUGAAAUCCCAGGGCUUAACCCUGGAACUGCUCUUUAGACUGCCUGUCUGGAAUUCGGAAGAGGUUGGUGGAACUCCCAGUGUAGAGGUGAAAUUCGCAGAUAUUGGGAAGAACACCGAUGGCGAAAGCAGCUCUCUGAGACGGUACUGACGCUGAGGCGCGAAAGCGUGGGGAGCGAACAGG